rnacentral:lncRNA from 1 species
GAAACAACGACUAUUAGAUUUUACACUAAAAAUUCGAAAUCAAUGAGUAGGAAUUCAAAGGCUCUGGAAGGAAGAAGUGAGCAACCCAAAAGGAAGAUGGAGCGAUAAGAGGAAAGAGCCUUUCAGGACCCUAAAUACCUGGGUGGUUUUUUUAAGGAACUGUUCAUUCUUACAGUUAUGCUGCCAAACCAUGAUAUGCAUGAAAUGUCAUUGAAAGUCAAGGUUGAAAUGAAGUCAUUUUAGAGUUUCAAAGACAGGUAUGACAGUCACCAAACAGCACACAAUAUGACCUCCUGGCAUCAUUGAGGAAUCAUUACAGAGGAAAACGACUUCUGGGAAGAAGACCAAUGGUAAAGAUGUAUUUCAAGCAAAAAUUGCCUGUAUGGCAAAAACGCUGGAGAGUCUGAAAGGAAGGAGUGAGUACAAAAGAAAAAGCAUAACUUAGCUACGUAUGUAAGCUUAUAG